rnacentral:rRNA from 1 species
GACGAACGCUGGCGGCGGGCUUAACACAUGCAAGUCGAACGGAAAGGCCCUGCUUUUGUGGGGUGCUCGAGGGGCGAACGGGUGAGUAACACGUGAGUAACCUGACCUUGACUUUGGGAUAACUUCAGGAAACUGGGGCUAAUACAGGAUAGGAGCUCCUGCUGCAUGGUGAGGGGUGGAAAGUUUCGGCGGUUGCGGAUGGACUCGCGGCUUAUCAGCUUGUUGGUGGGGUAGUGGCUUACCAAGGCUUUGACGGGUAGCCGGCCUGGGAGGGUGACCGGCCACAUUGGGCCUGAGAGACGGCCCAGACUCCUACGGGAGGCAGCAGUGGGGAAUAUUGCCCAAUGGGCGGAAGCCUGAUGAAGAAACGUCGCGUGCGGGAUGACGGCCUUCGGGUUGUAAACCGCUUUCGCCUGUGACGAAGCGUGAGUGACGGUAAUGGGUAAAGAAGCACCGGCUAACUACGUG